rnacentral:rRNA from 1 species
GAUGAACGCUGGCGGCGUGCCUAAUACAUGCAAGUCGAGCGAACGUCAUAGAAGCUUGCUUCUAUGACGUUAGCGGCGGACGGGUGAGUAACACGUGGGCAACCUGCCUGUAAGACUGGGAUAACUUCGGGAAACCGAAGCUAAUACCGGAUAGGAUCUUCUCCUUCAUGGGAGAUGAUUGAAAGAUGGUUUCGGCUAUCACUUACAGAUGGGCCCGCGGUGCAUUAGCUAGUUGGUGAGGUAACGGCUCACCAAGGCAACGAUGCAUAGCCGACCUGAGAGGGUGAGCGGCCACGCUGGGGUUGAGACACGGCCCAGACUCCUACAGGAGGCAGCAGUAGGAAAUCUUCCGCAAUGGGCGAAAGUCUGACGGAGCAACGCCGCGUGAGUGAUGAAGGCUUUCGGGUCGUAAAACUCUGUUGUUAGGGAAGAACAAGUACGAGAGUAACUGCUCGUACCUUGACGGCACCUAACCAGAAAGCCACGGCUAACUACGUGCCAGCCGCCGCCGUAA